rnacentral:rRNA from 1 species
UGGGGAAUAUUGGACAAUGGGCGAAAGCCUGAUCCAGCAAUGCCGCGUGAGUGAUGAAGGCCCUAGGGUUGUAAAGCUCUUUUACCCGGGAUGAUAAUGACAGUACCGGGAGAAUAAGCCCCGGCUAACUCCGUGCCAGCAGCCGCGGUAAUACGGAGGGGGCUAGCGUUGUUCGGAAUUACUGGGCGUAAAGCGCACGUAGGCGGUUGCUCAAGUCAGAGGUGAAAGCCCGGAGCUUAACUCCGGAAUUGCCUUUGAAACUAGGUAACUUGAAUCCAGGAGAGGUGAGUGGAAUUCCGAGUGUAGAGGUGAAAUUCGUAGAUAUUCGGAAGAACACCAGUGGCGAAGGCGGCUCACUGGACUGGUAUUGACGCUGAGGUGCGAAAGCGUGGGGAGCAAACAGGAUUAGGUACCCUGGUAGUCCACGCCGUAAAACGAUGAUAACUAGCUGUCCGGGCACUUGGUGCUUGGGUGGCGCAGCUAACGCAUUAAAGUUAUCCGCCUGGGGAGUACGGCCGCAAGGUUAAAAACUUAAAUGAAUUGACGGGGUCAUGAGCU